GCGCUUUGCAGUAGUAAACCCAAUUUUCCAACCUGUUAAAUGGCAAAAAUAUCUACAUGGCCAGCUUUACAUGUUUCCUGUAGGCACUGAGAUAAUGUGAAGACCAUAGGAGUACUUUGUAAAUAAAACAGUGAGUGCCUGCAAAACGUGCUGCUCUCAUAUCCAGCCUCUCAGAGAGACACAGGACCCCUCUCUUGCUGUACUACAGUGAUCUGUGUCCCUGGGUCUGAGUGAGCCCAAGCAAGAGGAGGCUUAGCAGAAGAAGGCUAGGUGACUGACAAUACUGGCUUUAAAUCUCUGCUGCUCUGCUUCCUAACUGUGCACCUUGGAGCAAGUCACUUCACUUCACUGAACCUUGGUUUCCUUAUCUGAAAAAUGAGAAUAAUAACAAUAAUGAUAGAAAUAGUAAAUAAAGCAUGAGGUUAUUAUGAAGAAUAAAUGUGAUUAUGUAUGUUAAGUGCAUUGCACAGUGUCUAGCAUGCAGCAAGUAUUCAAUAAAUAAUAGCUAGUAAUAAAAAUGGUGUUACCUGUGAGUGCACAGAGGCUCUGAGCAGGCUGCCCAUUGCCACGGAGGCACACACAGCAGCCAGGACCCUUUUGCCUGGUGUUGCCCAUGACCUGCCGUGCAACCUCUGACUCUGGGGAACUUGUCCUCCACCUCUGAACCUUCAUUCCUGGUCUCAAAAAUGAGGGGGCUGGAUUAGAGCCUGUCUUCCAGGUUCCACAUUCUGCUGAGCUGAUUCUAGACCCCUGUAGACAAGGCAAGAGAUGUGGGGAAGAAGGAGCAAUUGUUAUAGUUAGCUCCAGGCAGAUGUCUGUAGGGGCGGGAAGGUUUCCAGACUGUGCUGAGCCCAGGAAAUGUGGCCCGGCGGGUGUGGGCUGCAGAAAAGCCCAGUGGGGGGAUAGAUUUCCCACACAGAGGGAGAGAGGGCACACCCAAGGAACAUGAAGCAAACCCCAGCCAGGCUGAGGGACCUGAGGCCCCCAGAGUGGAAGCUGGGAUUUCAGCCACAAAUUAAACCUGCUCCGGCCUCCACCCAAAGUCCCCCCUGCCACCUCCUCUGAUGGGAGUAGGUUUCAAUUCCAUCCUGAAGUGAGCUCAUUCCUGGGCCGGGCCCAGCAAGGCCUGCUUAGCACACCCCAUUCCCAUGCCCUCCCUCUCUCUCCACACUUCUUCAGUUAGAUAGAGGUGGUCAGAGGAAGUUGAGACCCUGGCUUUGCUACUUUCUAUUCUUGAGGAAAGUACCUCUAAACCUCAGCUUCCAAAUACAUGAACGAGGUCUAAUGAUCCUACCCUCAUAAGGUUUCACUGAACAAUGUAUGGAGGAGUGCAUGAGCUGGACGAUGGUCCCUGGGCUCUGGCGCUGAUGUCCCCUCCCUGCUACUCAGGGUGCAGGCAUUGUUGCAGGCUGUCUGAGAACAUCCUCUCACUCACUGCAGUCUUUUUGCCUUCCUUCAUUUGCUCAAAAAACAGUGAAUGGGCAUCUACUUUGCCCAUGGCUAGAUCAGAGCUUUUCAAAGUUUAAUGUGAUUCAACCUGAGAAAGCUUAUUGAAAUUAAAAAAAAAAAAAAA
ensembl:lncRNA